GAUUUUAUUUCAGAAGAGCAUAUGAGUAUACAACUAAUAACGAGGAUUUAAGUGAAGAACUCAGUUAUAUUUUCGCCAUGGGCCAUGAACAUGGAUACACUAAGGGUUUUUUGCGGAGAAUACAUCGCAGAAUAAAAGCAUCUAUGAAUAAUGUCCAACGAGGAAUAGAUUACCUAGUACCGCAAAAAAGCGCCUACACUCAGUUAACCUUUAAUUUGAAUAAUUUGAAAAUCGUAAACGAGCUAGCAUGUAAAGCUCAGAAGAAGAUAGCUACAAAAAGAGCAACAACCCUUUUUAACACCA
rnacentral:lncRNA from 1 species